UGCCCAGACAACUAGGAUGUUGGCUUAGAAGCAGCCAUCAUUUAAAGAGUGCGUAAUAGCUCACUAGUCGAGUGACACUGCGCCGAAAAUGUACCGGGGCUAAACAUAUUACCGAAGCUGUGGAUUGUCCUUUGGACAAUGGUAGGAGAGCGUUCUAAGGGCGUUGAAGCAUGAUCGUAAGGACAUGUGGAGCGCUUAGAAGUGAGAAUGCCGGUGUGAGUAGCGAAAGACGGGUGAGAAUCCCGUCCACCGAUUGACUAAGGUUUCCAGAGGAAGGCUCGUCCGCUCUGGGUUAGUCGGGUCCUAAGCUGAGGCCGACAGGCGUAGGCGAUGGAUAACAGGUUGAUAUUCCUGUACCACCUAUAAUCGUUUUAAUCGAUGGGGGGACGCAGUAGGAUAGGCGAAGCGUGCGAUUGGAUUGCACGUCUAAGCAGUAAGGCUGAGUAUUAGGCA
rnacentral:rRNA from 1 species